AGCGAACGCUGGCGGCAGGCCUAACACAUGCAAGUCGAACGAACCCUUCGGGGUUAGUGGCGGACGGGUGAGUAACACGUGGGAACGUGCCUUUAGGUUCGGAAUAACUCAGGGAAACUUGUGCUAAUAACGAACGUGCCCUUCGGGGGAAAGAUUUAUCGCCUUUAGAGCGGCCCGCGUCUGAUUAGCUAGUUGGUGAGGUAAUGGCUCACCAAGGCUACGAUCAGUAGCUGGUCUGAGAGGAUGACCAGCCACAUUGGGACUGAGACACGGCCCAAACUCCUACGGGAGGCAGCAGUGGGGAAUCUUGCGCAAUGGGCGAAAGCCUGACGCAGCCAUGCCGCGUGGAUGAUGAAGGUCUUAGGAUUGUAAAAUCCUUUCACCGGUGAAGAUAAUGACUGUAGCCGGAGAAGAAGCCCCGGCUAACUUCGUGCCAGCCGCCGCCGUAAUAC
rnacentral:rRNA from 1 species